AGAACGAACGCUGGCGGCGUGCCUAACACAUGCAAGUCGAACGGGACCAGGGGCAACUCUGGUUCAGUGGCGGACGGGUGCGUAACACGUGAGGAACAUGACCUUCGGCGGGGGAUAGCCGGCCCAACGGCCGGGUAAUACCGCGUACGACCACUUUGGGACAUCCCUGGGUGGUGAAAGCAGCAAUGCGCCGAUGGAGUGCCUCGCGGCCUAUCAGCUAGUUGGUGAGGUAACGGCUCACCAAGGCGACGACGGGUAGC
rnacentral:rRNA from 1 species